rnacentral:rRNA from 1 species
AACGAACGCUGGCGGCAGGCUUAACACAUGCAAGUCGAGCGCCCCGCAAGGGGAGCGGCAGACGGGUGAGUAACGCGUGGGAAUCUACCCAUCUCUACGGAAUAACGCAUGGAAACGUGUGCUAAUACCGUAUACGUCCUUCGGGAGAAAGAUUUAUCGGAAAUGGAUGAGCCCGCGUUGGAUUAGCUAGUUGGUGGGGUAAAGGCCUACCAAGGCGACGAUCCAUAGCUGGUCUGAGAGGAUGAUCAGCCACACUGGGACUGAGACACGGCCCAGACUCCUACGGGAGGCAGCAGUGGGGAAUAUUGGACAAUGGGCGCAAGCCUGAUCCAGCCAUGCCGCGUGAGUGAUGAAGGCCCUAGGGUUGUAAAGCUCUUUCACCGGUGAAGAUAAUGACGGUAACCGGAGAAGAAGCCCCGCCUAACUUCGUGCCAGCAGCCGCAGUAAGAC